AAAAUAGCAAUGAAAAAAAAUACCAAACCAUGGAAACAGUUAUUCAGCAAUCACAAAAACAAAAUACAUUCAAGAAAGUGAACUAGUAUCAAAAAUUAUUCCUGAAUUGACAAACACUAUUGAAAAAAUUGUAAAACAAUUUAUGAAUCAAUCAAAAUCUCCACAAAAUGAUAGUGUGAACAGCAGUUUUUACGAGAUCCUGAUCUCGAAUAAUGUCAAUAUGGUUCGAGGACUACAGAACAUCAACCAUGGUCUAUGGAAGCGAUGAAAAAAGCGGUUCAAAAUGUUGUGUCGAGAGAAAUGGGCUACAAAAAAGCUGUCAACUUAUACAAGGUUCCCCAAUCUACACUGGAACGAUCUGUGGUUUCACCUGUUCAGGAAAAAAAAUUGGUUGAUUAUAUCUAAUUAAUAAUAUUCUAUAAAUAUGUAUUUUUACAAGAAGAUUCUAGUAAUGAGGGGUUUUUUCUUAUGCCAAAGAUUUGCUGUUUUUUUUAUUGUAAUAAAAAAGACUUUUAAGUUUGAAAUUUA